AGAGGGAGAGAAAAAAAGGGAAAGUGAGAGUGAUGAGAAAGCGAAAAAAGUGCCGUCACAGUGGUCCCCCGCACGAAUCUCAUUAUUAUUGAAUUUAGUAAUUUGCCAUUAGACCGGAGAAUGCUGGAAUCGGGCGCGCAUGUGAGAAGAGAUGACAAGGGGGAUAUUAUCGGCAAUAGGAAGAUUACCCGUUUCGGAUGGAAAAUUCUCGAGCCGUAGCAAAAGGAAUUCGUCCCCUUGGUCCCCUUGGGGUAGACUGUUUAAGUGCAGACGAGUUUCAUUAAUUGAUUGGAUCGGAAUGUUUGUGGAAUCGAAGCGAGAACAAAAACAUUGGAGGAAUAAUUUAAGGUGAGCUGCAGAAUAGUACGGGAUUUACUGUAUUGUGGGUACCGAGCGAAACUGGCGAUACGGUGAUAUACAAAUCCCUCAAACUGCGUUCUGGAAAUCAGACAAACAAGAGUUGGGUUUUGAAACUCAAGAAAGCAAACCAUUGUUUCGGGGCUGCUGGAAAUGCCAUCGAUACCGGGUUUGGUGGAACUUCAAAAUCAAUAAACACACAAGCUUGCAGAA